CCCCCCCCCCCCCACAGGCGUACAACUGGCAGCACAUCCAGACCCCCUCCGGACCCGAACUGCUGGAUCUCAUCUUCCAAACCCUGACCUCUGUCCUGGAGGAGUGCCCCCACCCCCACCUGGCUGAGGAGGUGGAGACCCCCCUGCUGCUCCCGGAGGCGCUGCAGCUGCUGGAUGGGACCCUCCUGCCCGACCAGCACCGCACCUGGAAGAGUUUGGGAAUGGCCUGGAACAGGAGCCGGUGGGGCGGCCCUAAACCUUCCAAUGGGGCACCCAGUGCAGAUAACCCCACCCUACCCCACCCCCAACCUCAACCCUCAUCCUAACCCAAGCCUAACCCUAAUCUAACCCAAUCCUAACCGUAACCUCAACCAAACUCAACUCCAACCCCACCUCAAUCCCAACGCAACCCAACUGAAUCACAACCCCAACCAAACCCCAACCCCAACCAAACCCCAACCCAACCCCAAUCCCAACCAAAUUCAACCCCAGCUCAACCCCAACGCAACCCAACCUCAACCCAAUCCAACCCCAAACCAACCCCAACUUCAACCCCAACUCAACCCAACUGAACCACAACCCCAACCCCAAAUCAACCCCAACCUGAACCCAACUCAACCCAACCUCAAUCCCAACCCCAAAAUCACUCCAACCCCACCUCAACCUCAACCCAACCCCAACUCAAUCCCAACCCAACCCCAACUCAAUCCCAACCCCAAACCAAUCCCAACUUCAACCCCAAAACAACCCAACUGAACCGCAACCCAACACAACCUCAACUCAACCCAACCAAUCCCAAUCCAACCCAACCCCAAUCCCAAUCCCAAUCUCAACUCAGCUCCAAUCCAACCCAACCCAACACCAGUCCAACCCAAUCCCAACCUCAACUCAACCCAACCAACCCCAACCCAAUGCCAAUCCACCCCAA
rnacentral:lncRNA from 1 species